rnacentral:rRNA from 1 species
AGUGAACGCUGGCGGUAGGCCUAACACAUGCAAGUCGAACGGCAGCACAGUAAGAGCUUGCUCUUACGGGUGGCGAGUGGCGGACGGGUGAGGAAUACAUCGGAAUCUACUUUUUCGUGGGGGAUAACGUAGGGAAACUUACGCUAAUACCGCAUACGACCUACGGGUGAAAGCAGGGGAUCUUCGGACCUUGCGCGAUUGAAUGAGCCGAUGUCGGAUUAGCUAGUUGGCGGGGUAAAGGCCCACCAAGGCGACGAUCCGUAGCUGGUCUGAGAGGAUGAUCAGCCACACUGGAACUGAGACACGGUCCAGACUCCUACGGGAGGCAGCAGUGGGGAAUAUUGGACAAUGGGCGCAAGCCUGAUCCAGCCAUACCGCGUGGGUGAAGAAGGCCUUCGAGUUGUAAAGCCCUUUUGUCGGGAAAGAAAAGCAGCAGGUUAAUACCCCGCUGUUCUGACGGUACCCAAAGAAUAAGCACCGGCUAACUUCGUG